AAGUCGUAACAAGGUUUCCGUAGGUGAACCUGCGGAAGGAUCAUUACUAGAGCAAAGGAUAGACAGCGCCCGCGGAGCUCGCUCCCGGGGCUACCCUACUCCCGUAGGGUUUAGAGUCGUCGGGCCUCUCGGAGAAGCUCGGUCCUGAACUCCACCCUUGAAUAAACUACCUUUGUUGCUUUGGCGGGCCGCCUCGUGCCAGCGGCUUCGGCUGUUGAGUGCCCGCCAGAGGACCCCAACUCUUGUUUUUAGUGAUGUCUGAGUACUAUAUAAUAGUUAAAACUUUCAACAACGGAUCUCUUGGUUCUG
rnacentral:misc_RNA from 1 species